ensembl:ncRNA ZK593.14 ncRNA
ACAUUACUCUCGAGUGUCCACUCUCGUCGUCUUGUCACUCCUCUGUUUGCAUGCUAUUCGCUAGCAAUAAUCUCUCGGUCUCCUGCCCAAUCACACUUUAUUCAUGUUAUGUGCGCGACGCGUUCUCGCAUGUGCCUCCUAGUA